AUUCCAUUCAUCUAUAUUUACCUAGAAAACAUAUAUUAAGACCUAUUUUGAAACAGAGACACACAGGCUUAAAAGGUAAGUAAUGUGCAGGAGCCCAAGAACUUACAGUCUGCCAAGGGAAAGUAGCUUAUAAACACAGGAGUUAAAACUGUGUAAGCACACACUUUAUUAUUUUUUGUAAUGACCUCAUAUUGUAUAGAAAUGAUUGUCCCUAAUCAUUUGUUCUCACCUUGUUCUCAAGUUUUCCCCUGCAUCCUCUGUCCUUAUUUUUCUAUCUCAGUAACUGAUUAUUACUGUCAGCAGGGAUCUCCUAACUAGCAUUAAGGUAAGUGGUAGCUUGAGAUGACCCAUGUGACACAUAAAGAGGGCGAUGCCUUAGAUUGUUCAAUUUCUUUCUUUUCUUCUACACAUCUGUUAAGGUUUGACUCAUCUAAGGUUACAGACCCAUCUAGAGGAAGGAUGGAGUCUUCAAAUUCCCUACUUAUGAUUUUGUCCUAGUUUCAUCUUGCCUUAAAAGCAGCACAAGGAGGACUAGGGAUAUUUGUCCAAAUCCCUUGGGAGAAAGAUUAAUUUUGAAAGGACUUCAAAUAGCCAUAAGCUAUAUAUUAUGUGACUGAUACUUAGAAAACUCAGCACCUGUCUGAUUUGAGUUUCUUCUUUCCAUAUUUCAGUAUUAUCUUGUCCUAGAUUGUGGGGCAGCCUUGUUUUGGCAACUUGUUAGUGGUUUCUGUCUUGGGGUCCCUAUAGCUCUUCAGCACUGAAGGAUGUGUUUAAAAACUUACAUGUGGAAGUGUUUAGACAUAUACAAAAGUAGAAAGAAUAAUAAAGUGAACUCCCAGCUUUAACUGUGAUCUCUGUUUUCUUUUGCAGGGCUAGGGAUUGAACCCAGGUCCUCUCACAUACUAGGGAAGUGCUCUGCUGAUGAGCUACAUCCCCAUCCCCUUGUGAUCCCUGUGUUCUGAGACAAGUUUUUGUUUUUCAAAAAGCAUGAUGUAAAUUUUUAUACUUACUGCAGAAAGCCUGUUUGUGUAUAAUUUAGCCAUUUCAGUAGCACAAAGAAAUGAGAACUUGUUCAGGCUCACAGGUCUGAGUCACCUGGGAUAUUCUGUUCAGUGAGUUUCCCUCAAUUGUGAUUAGUGGUCUCCCUGAGGAAUGUUGAUGUGGUAAUGGCAGUGUAUAAAUGAGCAAGCAGAAGUAUGAGGGACCACUUUAAGUCUAUACUCAAAACUGGCACUCUCAGCCAGGCAUGAUGGCACACACCUGUAAUCCCAGCAGCUCAGGAGGCUGAGACAGGAGAAUCGUG
rnacentral:lncRNA from 1 species